rnacentral:rRNA from 1 species
UCGUUUAGGGAAACUAGAAGGUUAACUCCCCCCAUAACAUUGCGAGAGGGCAUCUGAUUGCAAUUAAAGUUUCGACGGUAUAUGAUUGAUGUGCGUUUGAUUAGCUUGUUGGUAGGGUAACGGCCUACCAAGGCGACGAUCAAUAGCUGGCGUGAGAGCGCGACCAGCCACACUGGAACUGAGACACGGUCCAGACUCCUACGGGAGGCAGCAGUAGGGAAUAUUGGACAAUGGGCGAAAGCCUGAUCCAGCCAUGCCGCGUGAUAGAUGAAGGCCCUCUGGGUUGUAAAUAUCUUUUAUCUGGGAAGAAACAAUCUUAUUCUUAAGAUCUUGACGGUACCAGAGGAAUAAGCACCGGCUAACUCCGUG